rnacentral:lncRNA from 1 species
GAGCUCCUUGCAUUGGAGCCUGCUUCUCCCUCUGCCUAGGUCUCUGCCCCUUUCUCUCUCUCUCUCUCUCUCUCCCUCGCUCUCUCUCCCUCUCAAAAUCCGGCAAAAAUAAAAAGAAAGAAAGACAGAAAAAUAAAGGAAGAAAGAAAAGAAAAUUCCCUACGUUCGGACUUCUAGGUCAGCCCAUCAGAAAGAUGCCUCGUGGGAUGGGACCCAAGAGGUGGUCCAGAGAAAUAAGGACCCGACUCCCCACCCACACACACACACACACACUUCCCAUGAGUCCAAAUCAUGAAGAAGACGGGGAAAGCAGGCCAGGCAGGCAGACGCCAGAAAUCCGAAGUCCGCCCGCACGCACGCACGCACGCACGUCCUCGGCUGCCCUCGGCCGCCCCCGCCGGCCCGACGCGGGGACCCGGGGAGACCCCGCGGGCCGGGGAUGACAGAGAGAGAGAGGCAGAGACACAGAGGGAGAAGCAGGCUCCAUGCACCGGGAGCCCGACGUGGGACUCGAUCCCGGGUCUCCAGGAUCGCGCCCUGGGCCAAAGGCAGGCGCCAAACCGCUGCGCCACCCCGGGGAUCCCACACACAGACUUUCUACGGAUUCUCGCGUGUCUGGAGAACCCGGAUACACCUGUUAUAAUGGAGCCCCCGCUAUGUGUCAGCAAGGGAGCCACACACACCUGCCCUUUCGGUACCUCCCGGAGGUCUCACAGCUUCCCAGGAGCGCAGGUGAUGGUGUCCGUUCUUGCCAGGUGCUGGGAACAUAGCAGCCCGGACAGUGGAUGGAAACCCAUGCCCUCAUAGAGCUCGCGUCCCAGAAAGGGCAGCAAACAAUAAGCUGAGUCACCUCUUCUGGCCACAGAAGUUCCCCGGAGUCGACACUGAGAUCAAGGACUCGAGUGCAG